AUACGGAGGAUGCGAGCGUUAUCCGGAUUUAUUGGGUUUAAAGGGAGCGUAGGUGGGAUAUUAAGUCAGCUGUGAAAGUUUGGGGCUCAACCUUAAAAUUGCAGUUGAUACUGGUUUCCUUGAGUACGGUACAGGUGGGCGGAAUUCGUGGUGUAGCGGUGAAAUGCUUAGAUAUCACGAAGAACUCCGAUCGCGAAGGCAGCUCACCGGGCCGGAACUGACACUGAUGCUCGAAAGUGCGGGUAUCAAACAGGAUUAGAUACCCUGGUAGUCCGCACAGUAAACGAUGAAUACUCGCUGUUUGCGAUACACUGUAAGCGGCCAAGCGAAAGCGUUAAGUAUUCCACCUGGGGAGUACGUCGGCAACGGUGAAACUCAAAUGAAUUGACGGGG
rnacentral:rRNA from 1 species